rnacentral:rRNA from 1 species
UGGGGAAUUUUGGACAAUGGGCGAAAGCCUGAUCCAGCAAUGCCGCGUGUGUGAAGAAGGCCUUCGGGUUGUAAAGCACUUUUGUCCGGAAAGAAAUCCUUGGCUCUAAUACAGUCGGGGGAUGACGGUACCGGAAGAAUAAGCACCGGCUAACUACGUGCCAGCAGCCGCGGUAAUACGUAGGGUGCAAGCGUUAAUCGGAAUUACUGGGCGUAAAGCGUGCGCAGGCGGUUUGCUAAGACCGAUGUGAAAUCCCCGGGCUCAACCUGGGAACUGCAUUGGUGACUGGCAGGCUAGAGUAUGGCAGAGGGGGUAGAAUUCCACGUGUAGCAGUGAAAUGCGUAGAGAUGUGGAGGAAUACCGAUGGCGAAGGCAGCCCCCUGGGCCAAUACUGACGCUCAUGCACGAAAGCGUGGGGAGCAAACAGGAUUAGAUACCCUGGUAGUCCACGCCCUAAAACGAUGUCAACUAGUUGUUGGGGAUUCAUUUCCUUAGUAACGUAGCUAACGCGUGAAGUUGACCGCCU